UCUCCGGCCGCACGCCACCGCCGCUAGAGCCGCUGCCGCGCCGUGAAGCCGCCGUCGUCGCGCUCGCGGGUGCCGUCCGCUCCUCGGCCGCCGCUUGGUUGCCACCAAUCACCCCCGAAACCCCGUUUCCCUCACUCGCCGGUGUCGCCUCCGCCCGUCCGCCCCUCCUCGUCGCCGGGUCACCGCCGCCUUUCAUCCUCCGCCUUGGUCGCCGUGCUCGCCGGUUUCGGCCGUUUCGUCGAUCCGCAGUUUCUCGAAGACGUUGCUG